CACGUAGGCACCAAGCGUUGUCCGGAUUUAUUGGGCGUAAAGAGCUCGUAGGCGGUUCGGUAAGUCGGGUGUGAAAACUCUGGGCUCAACCCAGAGCCGCCACCCGAUACUGCUGUGACUUGAGUUCGGUAGGGGAGCGGGGAACUCCUGGUGUAGCGGUGAAAUGCGCAGAUAUCAGGAAGAACACCAGUGGCGAAGGCGCCGCUCUGGGCCGAGACUGACGCUGAGGAGCGAAAGCGUGGGUAGCAAACAGG
rnacentral:rRNA from 1 species